rnacentral:lncRNA from 1 species
AAAAGCAUGAUUGGUAGACAGACCAACUCAGUGGGGUUAUAGAGUGAUCAGCCAAAUAAGUGGGAAUUUUAACAGUUCAGUGAUAUGUGUAUAUCUGCUCAUUUUAUCUCUUUCCAAAUGAUUAGUUCUUCAACCUCUGUUCCAGCUUCUCUUUAAAGGCAGUGAUUCUCCAAGGGAGAAUGCAUGCUGACCUUCUCUGAUGGGCCACAUCUUUCUCUCUGCAGUUUGCUCAGGUUGGACUGUGAUGUCAGCUUGCAGCCUUCAGCCUAUCAAAUUAGCACUGCUACGUGCUGUUUAGGUACUGUGCUGCAUCCCACAGGUCUGGCUGUUCUUCCUAGCAGUAAGAAGCCACUGCACCAGAAAGGCUACCUACGUGUUGGAGUAUGGGUUCCUUGAAAGGAAAAGGAAUUCAUGCGUAUAAAUACCAAGAAGCUCUAAAGUGCGAUUGGUGCUCUUCUGCAUUCAAGGUAGGAUUUUGCAGUUAACUUCUUUCACAAAUAGAGUGCAACAAAAUGGAAGUGCACACAUAAACACAUGAGCUUUCCUGUUCUGCUGAAUUCUCUGGUGACUGGUGUGGCCAGUUAUCUCAUGGAAAUGUGGAGACCUGAUAUUACAACUUCUAUAAUAUAUCUACUUCCAUUUCUGUGCUUAUAUUAAAGUUUAGUGCUUUGUGUAUGUAUGACUGAAAUGAAAGUUCAAACCUGUGACUCACUGUCAUGGAAUAGGUUACUGGAUUAUUAAUACUUUAACAUUUUCCUUUGGCAAAUAUGAAAGCAAUUGUAACUAAGUAUAGGACUUAGAAGAAACAAACUAUUUCUAGAUACAAGUAAGGUAACCGUUGUCUGAUCCAGUAACAUUAUUUUGAGUUCCAUAUUAAAAGAGGGAAUAGUAUUUCCCAUAUUCUAAUAAGACCUCUUUCUAUGAGAGUCACAUUUGAUAAAAUUCUUUAAGAAAAAGAUCAAGUUCACCUUUAAUAAUAAUGAUUUGCAUAUUCAUAUUAUGACAGUUGCAUUAUUCUGAGAAGUGUGCUGUGCUAUUUCUAUGGCUUCUGAAAACAAAAAAGGUGCAUUUCAGAAAGUAAAAAAUAAAAUAAAAUCAGAACAAAUGUUCUCA